CAACAGGAAUGAAGAAACCAGCUACAUGUUUUUCAGUCAGGAGCUUAAAUUGUUUUUCUUUUCAAGCACUAUCUCAAGCCUGUGACCACAGAAAGCAUUCCACAAUAAAAAAUCACUUUUCAAGCAACCAUUCAGAAAUUUCCAAGUUCACCUCAUCGGCUCUCCUAUGAUGUCAUUACCUCCUGCUUCCUUGCAACUGCAGGGCAUUGUGGCCCGAAAGCACCACCUAAGCAGGAACUGCCUGGCUCCAAGGAACAGCCCCACUUGUGAAGAGGCCUGAAGAGAUCUGGCCAACAGAUAGGGAGCCCGCCAGGCUUCAAGUCUGUACAAGCACACCGUGCCCCAAGUGACUUCUCCCAGGGAACCAAGAGGGCUGGCGAAUGGAAGCAAAACCCAGUCCUCUUCUGCCUCCUUUUGAAAACAGUCCAAAUCUCAACAGAGUCCAGGCACCCUCCUCAAGGAACGGAGAAGUUGAAUGGGCAUUCAUGCACAUGACUUGGAAGACCCUCCACCCUUCUACGUGUGUAGAAACCAUAUGCAUACACGGUAGGAAGGAAGGUUCUGGUAAGAGAGAGGGCUCUUAAAAAUGAUCAGAAGCAGUUGAGUUAUGCUCCCUCUGUUUAAUAAUCACAAAGCCAGACUUACAGCUCUUAUCAAACCAUUUCGGUGGGGUCUGCAUCCUUUCACCCAUUUCAACAAACUGUCCCAGUGAGGGGAAAGAUUAGACCGUGUAUGUUUACUCUCUGUGCAGCUAUGGCUGUGUUCUCUGCAAGAGAAUGAGAUAGGGAAAUAGUUGUUGACUUAGUCCGGUCUCUGAUGGGUUCCGGUGACGGGAAAAAUUGGCAGCGUGCGCUCAGGUGAAUGAAAGUGAAAUCCUGCACCGUGGUAUCCUUCCUUCUGGAGAGCGAAUUCUUGAAAGGACGGUGUGAGGGGCAGCCCUGUGCUGCCGCUUCAGUUGUAGUUUUGGGCGGUGGGGGGUCGAGGCCUGCAAAGCAGGGAGGGAAGGGAGGCCAGUGUGGAAGACAUCCCAUGACACUCUAGCCGAGAGUGGCCCUCACAACCUUCCUCUCCACCCAUAAGGGGAGACAGAGCUCAGGGAGUGGGGCGUGAUUGCUCAAAGCCUCCCAGGG
rnacentral:lncRNA from 1 species